GGUGACUGGCCAAUCAGUGUGGUUUUUGGCAGUAAGCAGGAUUGAUUCUGGCUAGUGCUUGGCUGGGAGACCAUCUGAGAAGACCAGGUGUGCUCAGUUAGCC
rnacentral:rRNA from 1 species